UGGGGAAUAUUGCACAAUGGGCGCAAGCCUGAUGCAGCCAUGCCGCGUGUGUGAAGAAGGCCUUCGGGUUGUAAAGCACUUUCAGCGAGGAGGAAGGUGGUGAGCUUAAUACGCUCAUCAAUUGACGUUACUCGCAGAAGAAGCACCGGCUAACUCCGUGCCAGCAGCCGCGGUAAUACGGAGGGUGCAAGCGUUAAUCGGAAUUACUGGGCGUAAAGCGCACGCAGGCGGUUUGUUAAGUCAGAUGUGAAAUCCCCGGGCUCAACCUGGGAACUGCAUUUGAAACUGGCAAGCUAGAGUCUCGUAGAGGGGGGUAGAAUUCCAGGUGUAGCGGUGAAAUGCGUAGAGAUCUGGAGGAAUACCGGUGGCGAAGGCGGCCCCCUGGACGAAGACUGACGCUCAGGUGCGAAAGCGUGGGGCAGCAAACAGGAUUAGAUACCCUGGUAGUCCAGCGCUGUAAAACGAUGUCGAUUUUGGAGGUUGUGCCCUUGAGGCGUGGCUUCCGGAGCUAACGCGUUAAAUCGACCGCCUGGGGAGUACGGCCGCAAGGUUAAAAACUUAAAUGAAUUGACGGGUCAUAGCUGUUCCUG
rnacentral:rRNA from 1 species